AUUCCAGCUCCAAUAGCGUAUAUUAAAGUUGUUGCAGUUAAAACGCUCGUAGUCGGAUUUCGGGGCGGGCCGACCGGUCUGCCGAUGGGUAUGCACUGGCCGGCGCGUCCUUCCACCCGGAGACCGCGCCUACUCUUAACUGAGCGGGCGCGGGAGACGGGUCUUUUACUUUGAAAAAAUCAGAGUGUUUCAAGCAGGCAGUCGCUCUUGCAUGGAUUAGCAUGGGAUAAUGAAAUAGGACUCUGGUGCUAUUUUGUUGGUUUCGAACACCGGAGUAAUGAUUAACAGGGACAGUUGGGGACAUUCAUAUUCCAUGGCUAGAGGUGAAAUUCUUGGAUUCAUGGGAGAUGAACUACUGCGAAAGCAUUUGUCAAAGAUGUUUUCAUCA
rnacentral:rRNA from 1 species